rnacentral:rRNA from 1 species
UGCCAGCCGCUGCGGUAAUACCGGCAGCUCAAGUGGUCGUCGCUUUUAUUGGGCCUAAAACGUCCGUAGCCUGUUUGGUAAAUCUGUGGGUAAAUCAACCAGCUUAACUGGUUGAAUUCUGCAGAGACUGCCAGACUAGGGACCGGGAGAGGUGUGGGGUACUCUAGGGGUAGGGGUAAAAUCCUGUCAUCCUUAGAGGACCACCAGUUGCGAAGGCGGCUCACUGGCUCGAUACUGACGCUGAGGUACGAAAGUGUGGGGAGCAAACAGGAUUAGAUA